GUUUAUACUUUUUUUAGAAAA
rnacentral:tRNA from 1 species